rnacentral:tRNA from 1 species
GUCACUUUGCCGGAGUGGUUAACGGGAUCGCCUGCUAGUCCUAUGUAAUCAGCCUACAUAAGCAGUGUAGCGGUUGGGCUUUGCCCGCGUGUGUUCGAAUCGCACAGGUGACG